rnacentral:rRNA from 1 species
GACGAACGCUGGCGGCGCGCUUAACACAUGCAAGUCGAACGGUAAGGCCCUUCGGGGUACACGAGUGGCGAACGGGUGAGUAACACGUGGGUAAUCUGCCCUGCACAUCGGGAUAAGCCUGGGAAACUGGGUCUAAUACCGAAUAGGACCACAGGACACAUGUCCUGUGGUGGAAAGCUUUUGCGGUGUGGGAUGGGCCCGCGGCCUAUCAGCUUGUUGGUGGGGUGAUGGCCUACCAAGGCGACGACGGGUAGCCGGCCUGAGAGGGUGUCCGGCCACACUGGGACUGAGAUACGGCCCAGACUCCUACGGGAGGCAGCAGUGGGGAAUAUUGCACAAUGGGCGAAAGCCUGAUGCAGCGACGCCGCGUGGGGGAUGACGGCCUUCGGGUUGUAAACCUCUUUCACCAUCGACGAAGGUCCGGGUGUUCUCGGGCUGACGGUGGGUGGAGAAGAAGCACCGGCCAACUACGUG